rnacentral:rRNA from 1 species
UUAAGCGACUAAGCGUACACGGUGGAUGCCCUGGCAGUCAGAGGCGAUGAAGGACGUGCUAAUCUGCGAUAAGCGUCGGUGAGGUGAUAUGAACCGUUAUAACCGGCGAUUUCCGAAUGGGGAAACCCAGUGUGUUUCGACACACUAUCAUUAACUGAAUCCAUAGGUUAAUGAGGCGAACCGGGGGAACUGAAACAUCUAAGUACCCCGAGGAAAAGAAAUCAACCGAGAUUCCCCCAGUAGCGGCGAGCGAACGGGGAGGAGCCCAGAGCCUGAAUCAGUGUGUGUGUUAGUGGAAGCGUCUGGAAAGGCGCGCGAUACAGGGUGACAGCCCCGUACACAAAAAUGCACAUAUUGUGAGCUCGAUGAGUAGGGCGGGACACGUGGUAUCCUGUCUGAAUAUGGGGGGACCAUCCUCCAAGGCUAAAUACUCCUGACUGACCGAUAGUGAACCAGUACCGUGAGGGAAAGGCGAAAAGAACCCCGGCGAGGGGAGUGAAAAAGAACCUGAAACCGUGUACGUACAAGCAGUGGGAGCCUCUUAAUGGGGUGACUGCGUACCUUUUGUAUAAUGGGUCAGCGACUUAUAUUCUGUAGCAAGGUUAACCGAAUAGGGGAGCCGAAGGGAAACCGAGUCUUAACUGGGCGUUAAGUUGCAGGGUAUAGACCCGAAACCCGGUGAUCUAGCCAUGGGCAGGUUGAAGGUUGGGUAACACUAACUGGAGGACCGAACCGACUAAUGUUGAAAAAUUAGCGGAUGACUUGUGGCUGGGGGUGAAAGGCCAAUCAAACCGGGAGAUAGCUGGUUCUCCCCGAAAGCUAUUUAGGUAGCGCCUCGUGAAUUCAUCUCCGGGGGUAGAGCACUGUUUCGGCAAGGGGGUCAUCCCGACUUACCAACCCGAUGCAAACUGCGAAUACCGGAGAAUGUUAUCACGGGAGACACACGGCGGGUGCUAACGUCCGUCGUGAAGAGGGAAACAACCCAGACCGCCAGCUAAGGUCCCAAAGUCAUGGUUAAGUGGGAAACGAUGUGGGAAGGCCCAGACAGCCAGGAUGUUGGCUUAGAAGCAGCCAUCAUUUAAAGAAAGCGUAAUAGCUCACUGGUCGAGUCGGCCUGCGCGGAAGAUGUAACGGGGCUAAACCAUGCACCGAAGCUGCGGCAGCGACGCUUAUGCGUUGUUGGGUAGGGGAGCGUUCUGUAAGCCUGUGAAGGUGGCCUGUGAGGGUUGCUGGAGGUAUCAGAAGUGCGAAUGCUGACAUAAGUAACGAUAAAGCGGGUGAAAAGCCCGCUCGCCGGAAGACCAAGGGUUCCUGUCCAACGUUAAUCGGGGCAGGGUGAGUCGACCCCUAAGGCGAGGCCGAAAGGCGUAGUCGAUGGGAAACAGGUUAAUAUUCCUGUACUUGGUGUUACUGCGAAGGGGGGACGGAGAAGGCUAUGUUGGCCGGGCGACGGUUGUCCCGGUUUAAGCGUGUAGGCUGGUUUUCCAGGCAAAUCCGGAAAACCAAGGCUGAGGCGUGAUGACGAGGCACUACGGUGCUGAAGCAACAAAUGCCCUGCUUCCAGGAAAAGCCUCUAAGCAUCAGGUAACAUCAAAUCGUACCCCAAACCGACACAGGUGGUCAGGUAGAGAAUACCAAGGCGCUUGAGAGAACUCGGGUGAAGGAACUAGGCAAAAUGGUGCCGUAACUUCGGGAGAAGGCACGCUGAUAUGUAGGUGAAGCGACUUGCUCGUGGAGCUGAAAUCAGUCGAAGAUACCAGCUGGCUGCAACUGUUUAUUAAAAACACAGCACUGUGCAAACACGAAAGUGGACGUAUACGGUGUGACGCCUGCCCGGUGCCGGAAGGUUAAUUGAUGGGGUUAGCGGUAACGCGAAGCUCUUGAUCGAAGCCCCGGUAAACGGCGGCCGUAACUAUAACGGUCCUAAGGUAGCGAAAUUCCUUGUCGGGUAAGUUCCGACCUGCACGAAUGGCGUAAUGAUGGCCAGGCUGUCUCCACCCGAGACUCAGUGAAAUUGAACUCGCUGUGAAGAUGCAGUGUACCCGCGGCAAGACGGAAAGACCCCGUGAACCUUUACUAUAGCUUGACACUGAACAUUGAGCCUUGAUGUGUAGGAUAGGUGGGAGGCUUUGAAGUGUGGACGCCAGUCUGCAUGGAGCCGACCUUGAAAUACCACCCUUUAAUGUUUGAUGUUCUAACGUGGGCCCCUAAUCGGGGUUGCGGACAGUGUCUGGUGGGUAGUUUGACUGGGGCGGUCUCCUCCUAAAGAGUAACGGAGGAGCACGAAGGUUGGCUAAUCCUGGUCGGACAUCAGGAGGUUAGUGCAAUGGCAUAAGCCAGCUUGACUGCGAGCGUGACGGCGCGAGCAGGUGCGAAAGCAGGUCAUAGUGAUCCGGUGGUUCUGAAUGGAAGGGCCAUCGCUCAACGGAUAAAAGGUACUCCGGGGAUAACAGGCUGAUACCGCCCAAGAGUUCAUAUCGACGGCGGUGUUUGGCACCUCGAUGUCGGCUCAUCACAUCCUGGGGCUGAAGUAGGUCCCAAGGGUAUGGCUGUUCGCCAUUUAAAGUGGUACGCGAGCUGGGUUUAGAACGUCGUGAGACAGUUCGGUCCCUAUCUGCCGUGGGCGCUGGAGAACUGAGGGGGGCUGCUCCUAGUACGAGAGGACCGGAGUGGACGCAUCACUGGUGUUCGGGUUGUCAUGCCAAUGGCACUGCCCGGUAGCUAAAUGCGGAAGAGAUAAGUGCUGAAAGCAUCUAAGCACGAAACUUGCCCCGAGAUGAGUUCUCCCUGAGACUUAGAGUCUCCUGAAGGAACGUUGAAGACGACGACGUUGAUAGGCCGGGUGUGUAAGCGCAGCGAUGCGUUGAGCUAACCGGUACUAAUGAACCGUGAGGCUUAACCUU